GCGUAAGCGCACGCAGGCGGUCUGUCAAGUCGGAUGUGAAAUCCCCGGGCUCAACCUGGGAACUGCAUUCGAAACUGGCAGGCUAGAGUCUUGUAGAGGGGGGUAGAAUUCCAGGUGUAGCGGUGAAAUGCGUAGAGAUCUGGAGGAAUACCGGUGGCGAAGGCGGCCCCCUGGACAAAGACUGACGCUCAGGUGCGAAAGCGUGGGGAGCAAACAGGAUUAGAUACCCUGGUAGUCCACGCCGUAAACGAUGUCGACUUGGAGGUUGUGCCCUUGAGGCGUGGCUUCCGGAGCUAACGCGUUAAGUCGACCGCCUGGGGAGUACGGCCGCCAGGUUAAAACUCAAAUGAAUUGACGGGGGCCCGCACAAGCGGUGGAGCAUGUGGUUUAAUUCCAUGCCACGCGAAGAACCUUACCUACUCUUGACAUCC
rnacentral:rRNA from 1 species